UGCAAGCGGGGCGGGAUAUCCCGCCACGCCGCUGGGCCGCCCCGCAAAGAAAGCCCGCGCGGCGCCGCUAAACAGCCCGCAAACCUACUCGCGGGACAAAGCGGUCAUACCGCGUGGCCCGCUAGAAAACCGCAAAACUGCAUAACCCGCAAGACGUCCUCGUCCAGACGCGAACGCUCCCUAGUCCCCACCCUCGCUGACCAAGAAAGAUUGGACAACGCCGCUGCCCCGCCCCUCCGUCGAUGCCCCGACCUCCUCUUCCCACCGCCCUCCCUCCGCAGGCUCCCUCUCGCAAUUCCUGAUGGAGAGGUUGACGGCGGCGCGGCCGCCAUCUCCACAUCGGGACCUACAUCAGCGCCGCCGCUCGCAGUUCCUCCAUCAAGAUCGGCGCCCCAGCUCACAGUUCCUCAAUUGACAUCGGCGCCCUCGCUCGCAGUUCCUGAUGGAGUGGCCGACGGCGCCGCCGCCGCCAUCUCCACAUCUGGACCUACAAAGGAUCUCUGCAAUCGGGACAUACAAAGGACCUCCAAGAAGUAUCUCUGCCAUCUUCAGAAAUCACUGCAGCUGCAAAUCAAGGUUUCAGUGCAAACUUAACAACUCCCUUGGAUGUGAUCAAGACAAGACUGCAAGGUGAACGAUCAACAACUAGGUACAUGGCAAAUCUGAUCUGAGCGAAAAGAGUUCUCCAGCGCAGCUCUUUGGUUUCUUGAGUUGGUUCAUAGCUUUUUUUUAGAGAUUGAAGGUGCUUCAUGUUGGAAUUAUUCUUGUGCUUAGUCUCAUACAUUGGUUGAUAAUGCUGUAAUAAUUAUCUAAAUAUCCGUGGCCUGAACACAUUUGCCCCCUUGUCUUGAAGUGAUAACCAUAUCACUACUGCAGAUUGGGUGCUUCAGUACUGUUGCUGAUCGAUGGAAAUCUGAUACUGGAAGUUGUAACUUGAUGGUUCAGUAGUGAGCACUGUUGUGUA